rnacentral:rRNA from 1 species
UCCACGCCGUAAACGAUGUCAACUAGCCGUUGGGAGUCUUGAACUCUUAGUGGCGCAGCUAACGCAUUAAGUUGACCGCCUGGGGAGUACGGCCGCAAGGUUAAAACUCAAAUGAAUUGACGGGGGCCCGCACAAGCGGUGGAGCAUGUGGUUUAAUUCGAAGCAACGCGAAGAACCUUACCUGGCCUUGACAUGCUGAGAACUUUCUAGAGAUAGAUUGGUGCCUUCGGGAACUCAGACACAGGUGCUGCAU